rnacentral:rRNA from 1 species
AUGAACGCUAGCUACAGGCUUAACACAUGCAAGUCGAGGGGCAGCAUGAACUUAGCUUGCUAAGUUUGAUGGCGACCGGCGCACGGGUGAGUAACACGUAUCCAACCUGCCGAUGACUCGGGGAUAGCCUUUCGAAAGAAAGAUUAAUACCCGAUGGCAUAGUUCUUCCGCAUGGUAGAACUAUUAAAGAAUUUCGGUCAUCGAUGGGGAUGCGUUCCAUUAGGUUGUUGGCGGGGUAACGGCCCACCAAGCCUUCGAUGGAUAGGGGUUCUGAGAGGAAGGUCCCCCACAUUGGAACUGAGACACGGUCCAAACUCCUACGGGAGGCAGCAGUGAGGAAUAUUGGUCAAUGGACGAGAGUCUGAACCAGCCAAGUAGCGUGAAGGAUGACUGCCCUAUGGGUUGUAAACUUCUUUUAUACGGGAAUAAAGUGAGGCACGUGUGCCUUUUUGUAUGUACCGUAUGAAUAAGGAUCGGCUAACUCCGUGCCAGCAGCCGCGGUAAUACGGAGGAUCCGAGCGUUAUCCGGAUUUAUUGGGUUUAAAGGGAGCGUAGGCGGACGCUUAAGUCAGUUGUGAAAGUUUGCGGCUCAACCGUAAAAUUGCAGUUGAUACUGGGUGUCUUGAGUACAGUAGAGGCAGGCGGAAUUCGUGGUGUAGCGGUGAAAUGCUUAGAUAUCACGAAGAACUCCGAUUGCGAAGGCAGCCUGCUGGACUGUAACUGACGCUGAUGCUCGAAAGUGUGGGUAUCAAACAGGAUUAGAUACCCUGGUAGUCCACACAGUAAACGAUGAAUACUCGCUGUUUGCGAUAUACAGUAAGCGGCCAAGCGAAAGCGUUAAGUAUUCCACCUGGGGAGUACGCCGGCAACGGUGAAACUCAAAGGAAUUGACGGGGGCCCGCACAAGCAGCGGAGCAUGUGGUUUAAUUCGACGCAACGCGAAAAACCUUACCGAGACUUGACAUCCUACUAAACUCAUGGAAACAUGAGGUGACUUCGGUCGAGUAGAGACAGGUGGUGCAUGGUUGUCGUCAGCUCGUGCCGUGAGGUGUCGGCUUAAGUGCCAUAACGAGCGCAACCCUUAUCGAUAGUUACCAUCAGGUUAUGCUGGGGACUCUGUCGAGACUGCCGUCGUAAGAUGUGAGGAAGGUGGGGAUGACGUCAAAUCAGCACGGCCCUUACGUCCGGGGCUACACACGUGUUACAAUGGGGGGUACAGAAGGCAGCUACACGGCGACGUGAUGCUAAUCCCGAAAGCCUCUCUCAGUUCGGAUUGGAGUCUGCAACCCGACUCCAUGAAGCUGGAUUCGCUAGUAAUCGCGCAUCAGCCACGGCGCGGUGAAUACGUUCCCGGGCCUUGUACACACCGCCCGUCAAGCCAUGAAAGCCGGGGGUACCUGAAGUGCGUAACCGCAAGGAGCGCCCUAGGGUAAAACUGGUGAUUGGGGCU